AUUGAUUCCCUGGCAUUUAGUAAACACCAGAAUAAUCCGUAAUCAAAAUUCAAUUCCGUUUUUUUAUUCCCAUUAGCCUUAUGUAAAUGCACUAUUAAUCUCUUUAACUAAAGAGAAAGACAACUUGUCAAAGAUUGAGCAAAAAAUCCUCUAAAUAUCUUAUGACUUAUUUAUAAAAUUUCGUGUUUAUAAUUGUAACUCAUUUAUAUUAUAAAUUAUUAUAUAAAUGUAUAUUUCACAUUAAAAAAAUAAUUAAAAUCAAUAUCGUUUAGUCUUUUUUUUCCGAUAAUAUUGUUAGUCAUUGAGCUAUAUAAACACAAAUUGAUGGAUUCGGUAAAAACAUUAUGAACUGUUUAUCUAUUUGUUACAAUUGAUUGACUAAACGAUUUUAGUAUAAUUAAUUUUUGAAGAAAUGAUCUUUACAAAUUUAUUUAUAAUAUAACUAUUCCAUCAUAAACACUAAAUUAUGUGUAUGCCACAAAGUAUUAUGAGGAGGAACUCCUCAUCAACCUUAAGGAGACAAACUCUUCUCUUAACUAAAUAACUAAUUAUGUUUUUAAUUAAUUAAAUUAAGAGAAUAUGCGUAAUGCAAGAUCCAUGGGGAGCAUUUUUGCUCACCAUCAUAAAUUAUGGUGUAUGCUCACCAUACACCUAAUCAAUUAACACGUGUCAUUUCACUUAAUCUUGAAUUUUUUUUUUUUCAAAAUUGAAAAACUAACAUUUAAUAUGAAAGUUAACUAGAGUUAAGUAAAAUGAUACAUGUCAAUUGAUUAGGUGUAUGGUGAGUAUACACCAUAGUUUAUUGUGGUGAGCAAAAAUGCCUCCAGAUCCGUGUGGCUAUUUUCUGCAAACAUGGCUCCUAAAUACCAAUCAAGGAUUCCAUUAUUCCUUGAUGACUUGAAUUAGAAAGAUUCAAUUGAAAGCAACACAAAGAGUGGAAAACUCCCUCUCUCUCCAUAUACCAGGCUCGGUUCCCCUGCAUGUCCUCCAAUUGUAGGAGAAUGGUACUGUUAUCUAAGCCAGCCAAAUAUGUAUGGUUUAGGCAAGCCUGCCCAACUCUUUCAACUAUCAAUUUUUGUUGUAAUUUUCUUUGACUAUUAAGUCUCAGAUAAUUAAGUGCAGACGUGAUACAAUAUUGGAGUUGUAUCGAUCAAUGGCGAACAUUUAUUACAACUAAUAGCCCAGCAUACAGUGAGAUGGAUAAAAUAA
rnacentral:lncRNA from 1 species